rnacentral:rRNA from 1 species
CCUACGGGAGGCAGCAGUGGGGAAUUUUGGACAAUGGGCGCAAGCCUGAUCCAGCAAUGCCGCGUGAGUGAAGAAGGCCUUCGGGUUGUAAAGCUCUUUUGUCAGGGAAGAAACGGCUGCGGCUAAUAUCCGCGGCUAAUGACGGUACCCGAAGAAUAAGCACCGGCUAACUACGUGCCAGCAGCCGCGGUAAUACGUAGGGUGCAAGCGUUAAUCGGAAUUACUGGGCGUAAAGCGUGCGCAGGCGGUUUUGUAAGUCUGACGUGAAAGCCCCGGGCUCAACCUGGGAAUUGCGUUGGAGACUGCAAGGCUUGAAUCUGGCAGAGGGGGGGUAGAAUUCCACGUGUAGCAGUGAAAUGCGUAGAGAUGUGGAGGAACACCGAUGGCGAAGGCAGCCCCCUGGGUCAAGAUUGACGCUCAUGCACGAAAGCGUGGGGAGCAAACAGGAUUAGAUACCCUGGUAGUCCACGCCCUAAACGAUGUCUACUAGUUGUCGGGUUUUAAUUAACUUGGUAACGCAGCUAACGCGUGAAGUAGACCGCCUGGGGAGUACGGUCGCAAAGAUUAAAACUUCAAAUGAAAUUGACGG